UACAGAUGCUGGGGAUGGCCUGCCUUGUUUGAUGUCUUGUUUGAUGUCUUGCAAGUCAGUGCAGAGUUCCAGAGGAUCAUCAUACUGAAUCUUGAGCCAAAAUUCACAUCAAUGUUGGACUUGUAUUCCCCCAAACAGCUGUCCCUGUCCAAGGCAAAGACGGGUGCUGCAGGCGAGUGACAUCGGGCGAAAGAGGAAUCUUCAUUCAACGAAAACGAGAGGUCAACAUCCGACGUCUCCUUGACUAUCCGGGAGAAGAUGCAAGUGCCUUGAUAAAGUACUUUGAGAAUGCUGCAAAUGCACCCGUCGGUGUUCAAGAGGAUUUGGGCACGAGAGGUGAAGCUUUACCUGCUGCGGAACCAAGAUGGGUCAGUCAAAGGACCGACUGAUGUAGGGACUGUGAAUAAAGGCAUCACUGUCCUCAGACUGCUGCUAGUUGUUGGAACUAACCUAUGCCUUGAAUCUGAUCUUGAGGUCUUCCAAAAAGUACUGCUGUAGUUGGAUCCUGGAAACCUUUCAAACAAAAUUCAGUGACUGAAAAAUUACCUGUAUUUCUGCUAUAUUUUGCACAGUUAAUUCAAAGGCCAAUUGUUCUUGGUGCAUUUUACCCAUUUUUUAGAGACAGCUUACUCAUGUGCAGAAUUGAGCUCACUGUUUUUAUAGUGUGGUAAUUGUUACAUAUGUCAUUUGUAAUUUAUAUUGUC